GGGUGUGGGAGCUGCCCAUGACAUCUGUCACCUCACUGAUGGCCAGGGUUGAUUCGGCUGAUGUGGCUGGCAAGGCGGGUGUCCCUUUCCUCCCUCACGCUCCCCGUGCGUCCCUCCGGUCCGAGUACGAGCAGCCCCUUCCCUUGGAGGAGGACCAUUUCCUAUGUCGGGAGCUGCGCUCCCCUGCCAGAACCACCAAACAACUCCCAAAACUGGAACUCCAGAUCCUGACUCCUGUUGUUCCCAAACUAAAGGUUAGAGAGAGGCAUAGUCCUUUAGAGACCCAGGUUCUGUGUGUGUCCCAGA
rnacentral:snRNA from 1 species